UCGAAAAUCCCCAGCUGUUGAGGGUGAGAUGCAUCCUAAAGCACAAUAGGCUUACCUGCUGCUGCAGUGGUGACCACAGUUUGUGCUAGUGAGAGAUGGAGACAUAUUUUCGAUGAGUUGGGAGCAAAAAGACAGAUGCACGUUUGAGAACAGGCAACAAAUUUGGACCAAACAUCAAAAGGUGUUAUUUUGAUACUCCACUGGUCCAGUAGAAUUUUGUCCUUAUCUGAGGGGUACUGUUCAGUCCAGGUCCAGUUGAAAUGUAAAAUAUGUGAGAGGGAAACAGGAUCUAAAACAUUUUAGACACACUAUAUUUUGCAGUCAAAUAGGUUUCUGUCUUCAAGCAAACUUUUAUUUUUUGAAAGCAGCCAGAGAGGAAAUUAUUGGACAGUUUCAGGAUCGGCUGCAGUCAGGUGCAGUUGUUAUGGUCAUCCCACUCCUGCAGGAUGCUGUAAAACAGGGUUUUUCCCUCAAAGGCCCUUUUGCAUUGCACUGUUAUAAUGCAGUGUCACUCUGACCUGUGCUACGACACUUUGGACAGCCCUUCUGGAAAACAUCCAAAACUGCACAAUAGAUUGUUUACUAUAAAGUUGCUGUUGUUGUUUAUAAGUUCAUGAAUACUGUGUAGUUCAUCUAUAAACAUUAUUUGAAUGGCCAUUAUAAUGUUGCAUAAAGUGUUCUGAUGAUAGAGAAACAGGAGGUUGAGGAUAGAUGGUGUGAAGCAGUAUCACAGGAUAAAGAGCUCAGACUUCUUU